rnacentral:rRNA from 1 species
CCCUUAGAUGUUCUGGGCCGCACGCGUGCUACACUGAGGGGAUCAGCGGGUCAGGUUGCGCGAAAGUGUUUCCUAAUCUUGAAAUCCGCUCGUGAUGGGGAUUGACGGUUGCAAUUUUCCGUCAUGAACGAGGAAUACCUUGUAAGCGCGGGUCAUCAUCCCGCGCUGAAUACGUCCCUGCCCUUUGUACACACCGCCCGUCGCUCCUACCGAUUGAGUGGUCCGGUGAGGCUUUGGGAUCUGAGCGGAAAGAGCGUUUCGCUGUUUCUGCUCGGAAAACUCAGUCGAACCUUAUCAUUUAGAGGAAGGAGAAGUCGUAACA